rnacentral:lncRNA from 1 species
UCCUUCUCUAAUCAAUGGACGCGUUCGCGUCGUUCUUCGACUCCCAAUCGGCUUCAAGGAGUAGCUGGACCUACGAUUCGCUGAAGAACUUCCGCCAGAUCUCUCCUGUCGUCCAAACUCACCUUAAGCAGGUAUAAUUUGUUAUGAAUUGGAUAAUUUUGGUUUGACUUGAGAUCUUGUGCCAUGUAAUGUAUAAAUUAGGAUAAUCGUGUAUUUAGUUAAAUUCCCAUCAGUUUAAGGGACAUAUAGGUUUUCCCGUCUUAUAUGGUUAUGUUCUAUCACUGAGUGAGUUUUCGUGACGAGAAAUUACUGGAACCAUUUAGCUUUCUUUAAUCAUGUUCGCUUUUAUGCUAUUCGUUUGUCCGUGGAUUACACUGUAUUGAGGUAAAUUUGCGGUAGAUAUAUGUUUCUGAAUUGGAGUUUUUUUUUGAAUCUUUUAGAUUGUGUUUGGCUGUGGGAAAAUUUUUUGGAUCUGCUCCUUAGCAAAAGUAUUCCAUUGAAAAUGCAUCAUAUUAGGUCAAUAUUCUUGUGUGUUAAUUCUUCAUUUUUCCAUCUUCGUACCUAGAAAUAUGAGGUCUAUGAUAUAUGUGUUGAAAUAUUAAGAAUACAACAUUUGAAAUUAUGUUUAUGUGUUGAAUUUCUUCUUGAAUUAGGUUUGUAUUUUAAAUCCAAUAAUUAUCCUGUAUGUAGUGUUCGUUCUGAUAUGUCCGAGAGUCUUUUUCUCUAUUUGUUUCUGUUCAGAACUUUUACUUCUCAAAUAUAUUUGGAGCUUGAAUACUUGAAGCAAGUUGAUCGUAGAAAUUUUCGUUGCUUCAAUUUCUUAACUUGCAGGUCUAUUUGACCUUAUGUUGCGCACUGGUUGCAUCGGCUGCUGGGGCUUACUUGCACAUUCUGUGGAAUAUUGGUGGUCUUCUGACAACUUUUGCGUGCUUGGGAUGUAUGGCUUGGCUACUUUCUGUACCUCCU